CCAACAGGGAUUGCCCCAGUAACGGCGAGUGAAGCGGCAAGAGCUCAGAUUUGAAAUCCGGCGCCCCCCGGGGGCGCCCGAGUUGUAAUCUGCAGAGGGACCUCCUGGCGCGGCGCCGUCCGAGUUCCCUGGAACGGGACGCCUCAGAGGGUGAGAGCCCCGUACGGUCGGACGCCCAGCCUGUGUGGAGCCCCUUCGGCGAGUCGAGUAGUUUGGGAAUGCUGCUCAAAACGGGAGGUAUACGCCUUCUAAAGCUAAAUACCGGCCAGAGACCGAUAGCGCACAAGUAGAGUGAUCGAAAGAUGAAAAGCACUUUGAAAAGAGGGUUAAACAGUACGUGAAAUUGUUGAAAGGGAAGCGCUCGCGGCCAGACUCGGGCCCGGCGGAUCAUCCGGCGCUCGCGCCGGUGCACUCCGCCGGGCUCCGGGCCAGCAUCGGCCCGCGGCGGGGGACAAAGGCGCCGGGAACGUGGCUCCCCAGGGAGUGUUAUAGCCCGGCGCGCAACGCCCCGCGGCGGGCCGAGGUUCGCGCGUCCGCAAGGAUGCUGGCGUAAUGGCCACCAGCGACCCGUCUUGAAACACGGACCAAGGAGUCGUCUUCGCAUGCGAGUGUUCGGGCGUCAAACCCGUGCGCGCAAUGAAAGUGAACGCUGGUGGGAGCCCCUCGCGGGGCGCACCGCCGACCGAUCCUGAAGUUCACGGAUGGAUUUGAGUAGGAGCAUGCGGGGCCGGACCCGAAAGAAGGUGAACUAUGCCUGUGUAGGGUGAAGCCAGAGGAAACUCUGGUGGAGGCUCGCAGCGGUUCUGACGUGCAAAUCGAUCGUCAAACAUGGGCAUGGGGGCGAAAGACUAAUCGAAC
rnacentral:rRNA from 1 species